rnacentral:lncRNA from 1 species
GGAAGGAGAUCAGGGUCUCAGUCCCCCUUAGGCCGAGUUGCCUUAAAUAAAUGCAUCAGAAACUGUACCUGUUCCCUAACUGGGGCUAGGGCCACUAAUAACACCCCCUUCCCCCACUGUUUUUUUUUUUUUUGCCUUUCGUACAGGCAACUAAAAUACGCACAAGCAUGCUAAUGAGGGCUCAUGAAGAAUAAAAUAAGUGCACUCGUGACAACAGUAUGAUAUUGUCCACAAACCAUUUAGAAAAGGUGAGGAAAAUGGUUUGAGGGAAAAAGGUCCGUCUCCCUGCUGUUCGCCAAAACUGCCAGCAGGGGCCGCUAUCCCCACCUUUCGCAGGCAAAAGCCGCUAGAGAUCCGCGGUGGUGGGGGCUGGGGUGCUCCGGCCGUAGGUGCGCGCGCAGCCCCCGCCUCACGAGGCGCCAGCUCCCGGAGGGGCUGGGGCGUGGGGGCGGCGGGCUUGUCUGCGCGUUUCUGCGGUUCGGAUGGCGACUGGCUCGCGGACAUCCCUUUCGAAUCCAGUCCGGGCACGGGGAAAGGAUCCCGGCUAGCCGUGACCGCUCAAUCCUCUGCCGCGACUAUUUAACGCCCAUGAUUUCGACGUUCAAUCCCGAGCUCGUCUUACUACUGAGCCAAGAAGCAAGAGAUUAAAUUUACGUAAUUUAAAAUUAGAGAAUACAGGAAGAAAAGAAUUUGAGUUAACUUUUUGCGUGGCUGAGAAAUACCGCCCAGAAUCUUCCUGGCAUGGACUAGAUCUGGAGUCUCACCAUCCAAUUAGGCACCCGUGGUCCUGACCAGGUGAGAUGACAUUUCCACCUGCCAGGGGAGAGAUGCUCCCUGGGAGCUGGCAGAAAAGCCAGCUAUUGUGUCUCUGCCUGAAGCCCUCGGGGUAGCACCUGUGGGGAGCUGCCCUGAGAAACCUCAUGACGUCGUUUCCCCUUCUGCGCUCCGCGGACUGACUCCCAGAAGUCUGCCUUAACUUUUAAGUAAAACCGCUGCCUUUCCAGAGCCUUUGAAGUCUGCUGUCUACCCUGUCCCUUCAGGGAAAAAAAGUUAAUGGGAGUUAAAGAAUCACCAAGCGUUAGGACUAGAAGAAAUCCUGGACUGUUUAGUAGUUAAGUGGCCUGGAGUGAGAACAGCCUUAGUCUCUGGAGGCCAGAUGUUUUUAGGUAACUUACUAGCUGGUGGUGACCUUGGGGGCAGUCACUAAUUUUUCUGGAGCAGUGGAUUCACUUGUUAAUGGGGAUUCGCUAUUACUUUCUUCCCAGGGAUUGUGUGAUUUAAAUGAGAUGGAGAGUGUAAACCGCGGGGUUGUAGAGAUAAAGGUUAACUAGCAUCUAUAAAGAUUAACUAGCAUCAUUGUCAUCCUUGCCAUCCUCCACUUCAAACCUCCCACCACCGUUUCACAGGGGUCAGACGGAGGCGGAAGAAAGAAGGGGCUUGCUUUGGGUCAGUGCUGGGAGCUAGCCCAUCAUAACUCCUCUUCAGUGCUCAAAAGACCACACCUACUUUCCCCCACAUCACCUGGAAAAAGUAUGAUGGAGGAAAAGGAAAUGAAAAGGGGAACUCACUCAGGAUUCUUUUAAAGAUCACAUCUAGCUAUUUGAUCUGAUCUCUGCUAAAACCUCUGGCCUCCCUGGUGGCUGAGUGGUGAAUAACUCAUCUGUCAAUGUGGGAGUGGUGGGUC